rfam:Camelus ferus unplaced genomic scaffold scaffold1232, whole genome shotgun sequence.
GAGGGUACAGCUCAGUGGUAGAGUGCACGCUUAGCAUGCACGAGAUCCUAGGUUCAAUACCCAGUACCCUCA